UACGGAGGAUCCAAGCGUUAUCCGGAAUCAUUGGGUUUAAAGGGUCCGUAGGCGGACAAUUAAGUCAGCGGUGAAAGUCUGCAGCUCAACUGUAGAACUGCCGUUGAUACUGGUUGUCUUGAAUCGUUGUGAAGUGGCUAGAAUAUGUGGUGUAGCGGUGAAAUGCUUAGAUAUCACAUAGAAUACCGAUUGCGAAGGCAGGUCACUAACAACGUAUUGACGCUGAUGGACGAAAGCGUGGGGAGCGAACAGGAUUAGAUACCCUGGUAGUCCACGCCGUAAACGAUGGAUACUAGCUGUCCGGACCACAUUGGUGGUCUGGGUGGCCCAGCGAAAGUGAUAAGUAUCCCACCUGGGGAGUACGUUCGCAAGAAUGAA
rnacentral:rRNA from 1 species